rnacentral:rRNA from 1 species
GUCGAGAAUCUUUCGCAAUGCCCGAAAGGGUGACGAAGCGACGCCGCGUGCGGGAAGAAGGCCUUCGGGUUGUAAACCGCUGUCGGGAGUUAAGAAAUGUAAGGAUGUUAAUAGCAUCUUUGCUUGACUAAGGCUCCGGAGGAAGCCACGGCUAACUCUGUGCCAGCAGCCGCGGUAAUACAGAGGCGGCAAGCGUUGUUCGGAAUUAUUGGGCGUAAAGAGCACGUAGGCGGCUAUGUAAGUCGGUUGUGAAAGCCUUCCGCUCAACGGGAGAACAGCAUCCGAUACUGCAUGGCUUGAGUGCGGGAGGGGAGAGUGGAACUUCUGGUGGAGCGGUGAAAUGCGUAGAUAUCAGAAGGAACGCCGGCGGCGAAAGCGGCUCUCUGGCCCAUAACUGACGCUGAGUGUGCGAAAGCUAGGGGAGCAAACGGGAUUAGAAACCCUGGUAGUCC